UGGGAAACGGGUUAAUAUUCCCGUACUUCUUACAAUUGCGAUGGGGGGACGGAGAAGGCUAGGUGGGCCUGGCGACGGUUGUCCAGGUUCAAGUGCGUAGGCUUGAGAGUUAGGUAAAUCCGGCUCUCUUUAAGGCUGAGACACGACGUCGAGCACCUACGGGUGUGAAGUCAUUGAUGCCAUGCUUCCAGGAAAAGCCUCUAAGCUUCAGAUUGUAAGGAAUCGUACCCCAAACCGACACAGGUGGUCGGGUAG
rnacentral:rRNA from 1 species